AUUGAACGCUGGCGGCAUGCUUUACACAUGCAAGUCGAACGGCAGCGCGGGGCAACCUGGCGGCGAGUGGCGAACGGGUGAGUAAUAUAUCGGAACGUACCCAAGAGUGGGGAUAACGUAGCGAAAGUUACGCUAAUACCGCAUACGAUCUAUGGAUGAAAGCAGGGGACCUUCGGGCCUUGUGCUCCUGGAGCGGCCGA
rnacentral:rRNA from 1 species